rnacentral:rRNA from 1 species
AGUGAACGCUGGCGGUAGGCCUAACACAUGCAAGUCGAACGGCAGCACAGUAAGAGCUUGCUCUUACGGGUGGCGAGUGGCGGACGGGUGAGGAAUACAUCGGAAUCUACUUUUUCGUGGGGGAUAACGUAGGGAAACUUACGCUAAUACCGCAUACGACCUACGGGUGAAAGCAGGGGAUCUUCGGACCUUGCGUGAUUGAAUGAGCCGAUGUCGGAUUAGCUGGUUGGCGGGGUAAAGGCCCACCAAGGCGACGAUCCGUAGCUGGUCUGAGAGGAUGAUCAGCCACACUGGAACUGAGACACGGUCCAGACUCCUACGGGAGGCAGCAGUGGGGAAUAUUGGACAAUGGGCGCAAGCCUGAUCCAGCCAUACCGCGUGGGUGAAGAAGGCCUUCGGGUUGUAAAGCCCUUUUGUUGGGAAAGAAAAGCAGCAGGUUAAUACCCCGCUGUUCUGACGGUACCCAAAGAAUAAGCACCGGCUAACUUCGUG